rnacentral:rRNA from 1 species
GAUCAUGGCUCAGGAUGAACGCUAGCUACAGGCUUAACACAUGCAAGUCGAGGGGCAGCGGGAUUGAAGCUUGCUUCAAUUGCCGGCGACCGGCGCACGGGUGAGUAACGCGUAUCCAACCUUCCGUACACUCAGGGGGUAGCCUUUCGAAAGAAAGAUUAAUACCUGAUGGUAUGAUGAGAUUGCAUGAUAGCAUCAUUAAAGAUUUANCGGUGUACGAUGGGG